GAUGAACGCUGGCGGCGUGCCUAAUACAUGCAAGUCGAGCGAACAGACGAGGAGCUUGCUCCUCUGACGUUUGCGGCGGACGGGUGAGUAACACGUGGCUAACCUACCUAUAAGACUGGGAUAACUUCGGGAAACCGGAGCUAAUACCGGAUAAUAUAUUGAACCGCAUGGUUCAAUAGUGAAAGACGGUUUUGCUGUCACUUAUAGAUGGAUCCGCGCCGCAUUAGCUAGUUGGUAAGGUAACGGCUUACCAAGGCAACGAUGCGUAGCCGACCUGAGAGGGUGAUCGGCCACACUGGAACUGAGACACGGUCCAGACUCCUACGGGAGGCAGCAGUAGGGAAUCUUCCGCAAUGGGCGAAAGCUUGACGGAGCAACGCCGCGUGAGUGAUGAAGGUCUUCGGAUCGUAAAACUCUGUUAUUAGGGAAGAACAAAUGUGUAAGUAACUAUGCACGUCUUGACGGUACCUAAUCAGAAAGCCACGGCUAACUACGUG
rnacentral:rRNA from 1 species